AAACCGUUUGGAGGAUUCAGGCAGUUGAUGUUGCUGGCAACAAACUAACUGAUGAGCGGUCUUUGAUUUUCGAUGCAUUUCCACCAACGGUGUCUAACGUAAUACUUGUUUACAAGCAGUAUAAAGUUGAGCAUAUACAACGAUUCAGCGAUUUAAGAAAACUGGCACUCAGUGUUACAGCUACAGAUGAGCACAGUGGUGUAUACGCAAUUAAUGUUGGUGUUACAGAUGGAGCUUCUUACAGAAAUAUCGUGCCGUGGAUAAGCAACAAGGUUGAAUGUUCUGCAACUCCGCAUUGCUACUGCGUGCAGUAGGUAUGUGUCAAAUGUCUUUCCACGUUUUGCAACUAGAUGAAAUAGAUGGAAUAAGAAACCUUUCGAUCCACACGGGAGAAGACAUGUGUAGUGGUCAGUGCUAACUACAUGUGACAGUGGUGAAUUUGGCAGGCUUCUCAACCGUUCAGAUAUAUCAUCUUAAAAUUGAUAUAACAGCACCAGAAACACAAAACGCUGAAAUGGACAUUAUCACGGGAAACAGUUCAUCAAAUUCGUCUGCUGCACGAUUGGAAUGGUCAGGUUUCAAAGACCAAGAAAGUGGCAUUCUUUUUUUCUAUAUAGUGUACCUGAAUGACCUAACUACAUCCACUAUGUUGGACUCUAAUACAACAUCAUACGUAGAGCUGAAUGUGUCUACAAGUACUACUGAAGUAUCGAGAGAUUAUGCAGGAACUCGUUAUAAGUUGUUGCUUUC